rnacentral:rRNA from 1 species
UGGGGAAUUUUGGACAAUGGGCGCAAGCCUGAUCCAGCCAUGCCGCGUGCGGGAAGAAGGCCUUCGGGUUGUAAACCGCUUUUGUCAGGGAAGAAAUCUUCUGAGUUAAUACCUCGGGAGGAUGACGGUACCUGAAGAAUAAGCACCGGCUAACUACGUGCCAGCAGCCGCGGUAAUACGUAGGGUGCAAGCGUUAAUCGGAAUUACUGGGCGUAAAGCGUGCGCAGGCGGUUUUGUAAGACAGAGGUGAAAUCCCCGGGCUCAACCUGGGAACUGCCUUUGUGACUACAAGGCUUGAGUGCGGCAGAGGGGGAUGGAAUUCCGCGUGUAGCAGUGAAAUGCGUAGAUAUGCGGAGGAACACCGAUGGCGAAGGCAAUCCCCUGGGCCUGCACUGACGCUCAUGCACGAAAGCGUGGGGAGCAAACAGGAUUAGAUACCCUGGUAGUCCACGCCCUAAACGAUGUCAACUGGUUGUUGGGAAGGUUCCUUCUCAGUAACGUAGCUAACGCGUGAAGUUGACCGCCUGGGGAGUACGGCCGCAAGGUUGAAACUCAAAUGAAUUGACGGGGUCAUAGCUGUUUCC